GGUCUAUUGGUCUAGUGGUUAUGACGCUGCCCUUUCAAGGCGGAGACGAGAAUUCGAUUUUCUCAUAGACUACCA
rnacentral:tRNA from 1 species